AUCUGCCUUCAAAUUGCCUGUAACUCUGAAGUGACUGCACCUGCAAUAAUCUGCAGUGGGUCCCAGCUGGGAAAGUGGUGGCCAGGCUGAAAAUCCAGGAUGCAUGUGUCUCUCUGUGCUCUGCUGUAGAGAAGCUGGAAAUUGUGGAGAAACCAUUUAUUCUGAGCCUUAUAAGGCUUUAUACUUAAAAAACCUUUGAAGUCUGUGAAAAGCCUUCUGUUGAUUUCAGCUGGAUCAGGUCCAUGUGUGAGCACUAGGCCAUGUAGUCAACAACGUAGAGUGCUGUGAACUUGGUGUCCCAGCUCCAGUUGUAUCUGUUUUUCAGUCUUUUAAUGACUAAGAGGUCACAAGACACAAGAGAUGGAGAACCGGGGGUGUUGAAAGGAAAUCCCAGGUCUGGUGAGGUGCACUUCACUCACUGAGACAGUUCUUCUGUGGAAAAUGGAACAAAAAUCCCCAAAGACUGUUUACACAACUCUUAGACCUCCAAGGACUGUGUUAAAUUUUACACCUUACU